GAGGAAAAGGAACCAACAGGGAUUGCCCCAGUAACGGCGAGUGAAGCGGCAACAGCUCAAAUUUGAAAUCUGGCCCUCGGGUCCGAGUUGUAAUUUGUAGAGGAUGCUUUUGGCGAGGUGCCUUCCGAGUUCCCUGGAACGGGACGCCACAGAGGGUGAGAGCCCCGUAUGGUCGGACACCGAGCCUCUGUAAAGCUCCUUCGACGAGUCGAGUAGUUUGGGAAUGCUGCUCAAAAUGGGAGGUAUAUGUCUUCUAAAGCUAAAUAUUGGCCAGAGACCGAUAGCGCACAAGUAGAGUGAUCGAAAGAUGAAAAGCACUUUGAAAAGAGGGUUAAAAAGUACGUGAAAUUGUUGAAAGGGAAGCGCCUAUGACCAGACUUGGGCCCGGUGAAUCAUCCAGCGUUCUCGCUGGUGCACUUUGCCGGGCACAGGCCAGCAUCAGUUUGGCGCGGGGGAAAAAGGCUUCGGGAAUGUGGCUCCCUCGGGAGUGUUAUAGCCCGCUGCGUAAUACCCUGCGCCGGACUGAGGUACGCGC
rnacentral:rRNA from 1 species